rnacentral:rRNA from 1 species
CGGACGGGUGAGUAACGCGUGGAUAACCUGCCUCACACUGGGGGAUAACAGUUAGAAAUGACUGCUAAUACCGCAUAAGCGCACAGUACCGCAUGGUACCGUGUGAAAAACUCCGGUGGUAUGAGAUGGACCCGCGUCUGAUUAGCUAGUUGGUGGGGUAACGGCCUACCAAGGCGACGAUCAGUAGCCGACCUGAGAGGGUGACCGGCCACAUUGGGACUGAGACACGGCCCAA